GCCGGGCGUGGUGGUGCAUGCCUGUAAUCCCAGCUACUUGGGAGGCUGAGGCAGGAGAAUCGCUUGAACCCAGGAGGCGGAGGUUGCAGUGAACCAAGAUCGUGUCACUGCAGUCCAGCCUGGGCGACAGAGCAAGACUCCGUCUCAA
rnacentral:SRP_RNA from 1 species